rnacentral:rRNA from 1 species
UACGUAGGGGGCAAGCGUUGUCCGGAUUUAUUGGGCGUAAAGAGCGUGUAGGCGGCCAUACAGGUCCGUUGUGAAAACUGGAGGCUUAACCUCCAGACGUCGAUGGAAACCGUAUGGCUAGAGUCCGGAAGAGGAGAGUGGAAUUCCUGGUGUAGCGGUGAAAUGCGCAGAUAUCAGGAAGAACACCCGUGGCGAAGGCGGCUCUCUGGGACGUGACUGACGCUGAGACGCGAAAGCGUGGGGAGCAAACAGG